rnacentral:miRNA from 1 species
UUGGGUUGGCCAAAAAGUUCAUUUGAGUUUUUCAAAACAUCUUACAGAAAAGCCUGAAUGAACUUUUUGGCCAACCCGA